rnacentral:miRNA from 1 species
CAUUGGUGAGGACAUCUC